rnacentral:rRNA from 1 species
GACGAACGCUGGCGGCGUGCUUAACACAUGCAAGUCGAACGGAAAGGCCCUGCUUUUGUGGGGUGCUCGAGUGGCGAACGGGUGAGUAACACGUGAGUAACCUGCCCUUGACUUUGGGAUAACUUCAGGAAACUGGGGCUAAUACCGGAUAGGAGCUCCUGCUGCAUGGUGGGGGUUGGAAAGUUUCGGCGGUUGGGGAUGGACUCGCGGCUUAUCAGCUUGUUGGUGGGGUAGUGGCUUACCAAGGCUUUGACGGGUAGCCGGCCUGAGAGGGUGACCGGCCACAUUAGGACUAAGGUACGGACCAGACUCCUACGGGAGGCAGCGGUGGGGAAUAUUGCACAAUGGGCGGAAGCCUGAUGCAGCAACGCCGCGUGCGGGAUGACGGCCUUCGGGUUAUAAACCGCUUUCGCCUGUGACGAAGCGUGAGUGACGGUAAUGGGUAAAGAAGCACCGGCUAACUACGUG